rnacentral:tRNA from 1 species
GGACCUGUAGCUCAGGGGUUAGAGCAGACGACUCAUAAUCGUUUGGUCGUGGGUUCGAAACCCACCGGGCCCACCA